rnacentral:rRNA from 1 species
ACGGAAGGCAGCAGUGGGGGAUAUUGCACAAUGGGGGAAACCCUGAUGCAGCGACGCCGCGUGUGGGAAGACGGUCUUCGGAUUGUAAACCACUGGCUUUGGGGACGAUAAUGACGGUACCCAAGGAGGAAGCUCCGGCUAACUACGUGCCAGCAGCCGCGGUAAUACGUAGGGAGCGAGCGUUGUCCGGAAUCACUGGGUGUAAAGGGAGCGUAGGCGGGUAGACAAGUUGGAUGUUAAAUAUAUCGGCUUAACCGGUAUCUGCAUUCAAAACUGUAUAUCUUGAGUGAAGUAGAGGUUGGUGGAAUUCCUAGUGUAGCGGUGAAAUGCGUAGAUAUUAGGAGGAACAUCGGUGGCGAAGGCGACCAACUGGGCUUUUACUGACGCUGAGGCUCGAAAGCGUGGGUAGCAAACAGGAUUAGAUACCCUGGUA